rnacentral:tRNA from 1 species
AAUUAUAUAACUUAUAUAAAGUGUUAGAUUCUUACUCUAAAAAAGUCUGUUGACUAUAAUUA